rnacentral:rRNA from 1 species
GACGAACGCUGGCGGCGUGCUUAACACAUGCAAGUCGAACGGAAAGGCCCUGCUUUUGUGGGGUGCUCGAGUGGCGAACGGGUGAGUAACACGUGAGUAACCUGCCCUUGACUUUGGGAUAACUUCAGGAAACUGGGGCUAAUACCGGAUAGGAGCUCCUGCUGCAUGGUGGGGGUUGGAAAGUUUCGGCGGUUGGGGAUGGACUCGCGGCUUAUCAGCUUGUUGGUGGGGUAGUGGCUUACCAAGGCUUUGACGGGUAGCCGGCCUGAGAGGGUGACCGGCCACAUUGGGACUGAGAUACGGCCCAGACUCCUACGGGAGGCAGCAGCGGGGAAUAUUGCACAAUGGGCGGAAGCCUGAUGCAGCAACGCCGCGUGCGGGAUGACGGCCUUCGGGUUGUAAACCGCUUUCGCCUGUGACGAAGCGUGAGUGACGGUAAUGGGGAAAGAAGCACCGGCUAACUACGU